rnacentral:tRNA from 1 species
GUGGGAUUGGCGCAGUUGGUAGCGCAUUAGUUUGUGGCACUAAGGGUCAAGAGUUCGAGCCUCUUAUCCCACCCCA